UCUUCAAUUUCUCUUUCAAGUGCUCUCCCUUGUUUAUCAAUUUCAGGGAGCCUUAGUCUGUCUCAUUCUCUCUCUGUAGCAUUCAGCCUCCUCAAUAAUCCAACAAUGAUAUGCCUCUUAUGAUCACCUAUUGGAGGAUUAAACCACAAAAAGAAUUACAAUUCCGAAUAGCUUUUGAGAUCUGCAAAUUGUAAAUAAUAAUAAUCACUACUCACUACUAAAAGAAAAAAUAAUUCAAUACCCUCAUACUUACCCUAAAAUUUUUACAGGCAAAAAAUAUAUCCUUUCUAGAAUUGAUUCUGUCUAUGAAAUUUUCAAUUCAGCUUGCUCUCUACAAUUGCAUAGAAACACUACAAAUUAGGGAGGCAAAUUUUCCAUCUCACCUCAACCUUUUAGUUUGAGUAUUUAAUUUGGGGUUCUACAAAGAAUUAAGAAGAAUAUGAUCAAUUGAGUAUUUUAAAAGAAGAAAUUUGAGAAGAAAUUACAUUAAGAAAAUAAUCAAUUUUAGAAUUAGGGUUAGGAAAUUUGUAUGAAAGGCAGGAAGGCUAUUUUACCAUAAAUAUAGCCGUUCUUAUUUUAGCCACAGCAUCACACCAAACUUCAUCCACUUUGCGUGUAUACAUGCAAAUCUAGAAGUCAGCAAAUCUGUGUUUAAGUGGUUCGAAAAAGCAGUUUAGGUGGCUAGUUGGCACAAAUAAAAAAUCAGGUGGCCAAAUUACUAUUUAACAAAGUUCAGAGGGCCACGUCGGCCAACAUUAAUCUUAUCUAGCAUUUGGACCGGGUAAAAGCUCAAAAGAAGAAAAGAAAAUAAAGGGGGAAACACAUAUACAAAUGGCUAGAUUAUCAAGAGUUAGGCUUUACCUGCAUCCAAGUGGCUGUGCAAAAGAAAUACUGCAUCACAUUGGUAUUUUCUUACUUCCACUCCCUGCUGUCUUAGCCUUAC
rnacentral:lncRNA from 1 species